UAGAGCGGCGGACGGGUGAGUAACACGUGGACAAUCUGCCCCCCGGCCCGGGAUAGCCCAGGGAAACCUGGAUUAAUACCGGAUGAGACGGGACCCGCGAUGGCGGGACCCGGGAAAGGCGCUGCGGCGCCGCCGGGGGAUGAGUCUGCGUCCCAUUAGCUAGACGGCGGGGUAACGGCCCACCGUGGCGACGAUGGGUAGCCGGCCUGAGAGGGUGGACGGCCACAUUGGAACUGAGACACGGUCCAGACUCCUACGGGAGGCAGCAGCUAAGAAUCUUCCGCAAUGGGCGAAAGCCUGACGGAGCGACGCCGCGUGAACGAAGAAGGCCGUGAGGUUGUAAAGUUCUUUUCGGGAGGGGGAACAACCGUGGCAGGGAAUGGCCGCGGGAUGACGUGAAUCCCGGAAUAAGCCCCGGCUAACUACGUGCCAGCAGCAGC
rnacentral:rRNA from 1 species